rnacentral:lncRNA from 1 species
AAAAAACAAGAAAAGGAAAACAGAGCCAAAAGAAAUCUAGUAGCUCUUCAUCUUCAAUCGCCGCUGCUCUUUCUAUUUUAGCGAAGAACGCACCAAAUAGUUCUGUCGUUCAUAUUUCCGGCGAGUUUGGAGGACCAUUGAUUUCGUUCGAGUUUGAGUGCUAUUUCGAAUUUCGCGUGUAGUGCGCCCUUCCGUCUAGAAUAAAAAAUAGAUUUUGGAAAUUAAAAGAAGAAUUCAGGUUCAAAUUGUUGUUAGAUUCCAUUGAUGUUGCUGUUUGGAUAAAAUUUUGCUGAGCUCCGUCGAUUUGGCUCGUCCGUGAUUUCUAAUUUUGUGACCGAGUCGGAGGGUCAAGGCUCACUAAGGUCUAUUUUUCUUUAUUUUUAAGGUUGAAUCUUCAAUGUUGAGUUAUUGAUUUCUGGCUUCCAUAUCGUGAACGUCCUUGCAAUUUUCAUUAUUUGUUGCAUGUGUGUCUAAUUAUGCAUUAAUUGCCUAGAAAUAGGGUGUUCGCUAAGUCUCUGAAAAAAUUAGGAAGUGUUCUUUGGAUUUUUGUGUAAUUCCUGACAUUUACGCAUCUUGCUUCUAUUCCUCGUGUCACUGCAUGGGUAUGUCGAUUAACAACCUCCCACAGACAGAUGCAAAAGACUCUUCUUUGAUGUGUAUAUUUUUGGCAUGUUUUGCAGGCAAACCUGGAAGUGUAAUCUAAUUUGUUGUUUCUUUUGGAUUUAUUUUGCUUGUGUAUCACUUGAUAUGCACUGAGGCUAUGUGCAUGCCAUUUAUUUUGAAUAAAUUUCUUAUAUCCGUGUAUUUUAUAUAGUGAGAAUCCUUACAAAAGCUAGGGUCCAAAAAUGGACUAUCAAUAGUACUGGUUUUUAAGUUGUAAUUGCAAAUUGCAUUGAUGUGGAAGAAUCUCAGAAAUGAUUGUCAAGAUCC